GAUGAACGCUGGCGGCGUGCCUAAUACAUGCAAGUCGAGCGAACGGACGAGAAGCUUGCUUCUCUGAUGUUAGCGGCGGACGGGUGAGUAACACGUGGAUAACCUACCUAUAAGACUGGGAUAACUUCGGGAAACCGGAGCUAAUACCGGAUAAUAUUUUGAACCGCAUGGUUCAAAAGUGAACGACGGUCUUGCUGUCACUUAUAGAUGGAUCCGCGCUGCAUUAGCUAGUUGGUAAGGUAACGGCUUACCAAGGCAACGAUGCAUAGCCGACCUGAGAGGGUGAUCGGCCACACUGGAACUGAGACACGGUCCAGACUCCUACGGGAGGCAGCAGUAGGGAAUCUUCCGCAAUGGGCGAAAGCCUGACGGAGCAACGCCGCGUGAGUGAUGAAGGUCUUCGGAGCGUAAAACUCUGUUAUUAGGGAAGAACAUAUGUGUAAGUAACUGUGCACAGCUUGACGGUACCUAAUCAGAAAGCCACGGCUAACUACGUG
rnacentral:rRNA from 1 species